AGCAGCCGCGGUAAUUCCAGCUCCAAUAGCGUAUAUUAAAGUUGUUGCAGUUAAAAAGCUCGUAGUUGAAUUUCGGGGUCAGUAGGUUGGUCGUGCCACCGGUACGUACUGGUCUCACUGAUUCCUCCUUCCUGAAGAACCGUAAUGCCAUUAAUUUGGUGUUGCGGGGAGACUGGACUGUUACUUUGAAAAAUUAGAGUGUUUAAAGCAGGCUAACGCUUGAAUACAUUAGCAUGGAAUAAUGAAAUAGGACGUUCGAUCUUAUUUUGUUGGUUUCUAAGAUUGACGUAAUGAUUAAUAGGGAUAGUUGGGGGCAUUAGUAUUCAAUUGUCAGAGGUGAAAUUCUUGGAUUUAUUGAAGACUAACUACUGCGAAAGCAUUUGCCAAGGAUGUUUUCAUUAAUCAAGAACGAAAGUUAGGGGAUCGAAGACGAUCAGAUACCGUCGUAGUCUUAACCAUAAACUAUGCCGACUAGGG
rnacentral:rRNA from 1 species